GUAACAUUCUGGAAGCUGAAGGUGUACAACACGCUGGUUUGAUGCAUUUGUAUGUUGUGACACGACUAUCACCAACGUGAUCCGGAGCCUCAUCUACUGAGUAAUAGCAUCUAACCACCCAUCAGCUGGCCCAGUGACCCAGCAUAAAUAGAGGUGCCUGGACCCUCCCAGGGCUCUUCCUCCACUUUGGAGCAGAAGGGCAUUUCUGAGGAGAUAGUUGUUAAAAGCAUGGCCUUGGGAGCCAUUUGGAUCAAGACAUGAAUCUUUGCUCUCCUGCCCUGCUUGGCUGGCCCUGGGAGGACCACCCCUCUCUCUGAGUCUCCAUUUCUUCAUCUUCAUCAGCCAAGUAGCCAUGACUCCUCCUCCACAACCUCCUCCUGUCAUUACUGUUACGUCUCUCUCUCCUAGGAUGGCUGUGCAGUCUGGCCUGAAGGAGAGAUUCAGGCCGGGGAUAUCAGCUUAUUUUAUUUUAUUUUUGAUUUUAUGUUAUUGGAGUGUAGUUGAUUUACAGUGUUGCAUUAGUUUCAGGUGUACAGCAAAGUGAAUCAGUCAUGCUUAUAAAUCUGUCCAUUCUUUUUUCCCACGUAGUUUAUUACGAACUAUUGAGUAGAUUUUCCCCUGCACUACAGUAGGUUUUUGUUAAUCAUAUAUUUUAUACAGUAGUGUGUGCUGUUGUUCCCACCCUCCCAAUUCUUCCCUCCCCCCUGAUGGUUUUACCUAUGGUAACCAUAAGCUUGGUUUUGAAAUUCGUGUGUUUGUUUCUGUUUUUUUUUUUUAAUAAGUGCUUUUAUCAUUUUUAUUAGAUUCCACAUAUAAGUGAGAUCAUAUGAUAUUUGUCUUUGUCUGACUUUCUUCACUAGUAUGGUGAUCUCUAGGUCCACCCAUGUUGCUGCAAAUUGCAUUACUUCAUUCUUUUUGAUGGCCGAGUAGUAUUCCAUUGUAUACACAUACCAUAUCUUUUUUAUCCAAUCCUCUGUAGAUUGGCAUUUACAGCUAAUUAAGGACUGCCUGGAAAUACCGUCUUCAUCUCCUGUAACCUUUGUUUUGCGAUGGUACAUUGUGGCCAGUUACACAUCGGGGAAAUACCUCCUCCUCGACCUGCCACAAGCUGUGAGCCUGGAUGGGCCACACCGAGUGUCUAUGGGAAUUUAGGCAAGAGUGGUGCUGGAGAACGUGGCUGCGUCGGACUCUUCAUUUCACUUUCCCAAUGCCUUUGAAAUCUGUCCUUUUUGACAGACUCUGCCCUAGUCCGAGCCUCUGUCCCAUCUUAAUUCAAUGGCUGCAAUUGUUUCCAUCUUACCUUGGAUACACUGAGAAAGCAGAGCCUACAAAGACUUCCCUGCUGCUUUUUUACUUAGGAGUAAUCCCAAGAAUCAGAAAGGAGGGAUGGCAGAGUGGAAGAAGGAACCUCAGUACAGGAGGGUGUAAGUGAGAUCACCACCAUGGGAACCUGAACCCACCAGGGACUUUCUGAAGAGUGGAUCCUGAUUGCCCGGGAGGAGUCUUUAUCCAUGGGCCCCCAUUCUCCACUGGCUGAGGGUGGCUCCCAGAAGCACGCUCUGCUGCACAUUCAGAUCAUUCCUACCUAUGCUUCCUGGCAUUGGUGUCAUUGGAUAGGCCCAGGGGAAGGAUGUAUGUGAGGUUGGGCUGUUAGUGUGAGGAUAGGCAAAGCCCACGUGGGAGUGUCCACCAUGGCUGUGGCCGUGGCUGAACUCAAAGGGGAUGCUGAACAGGUGUGGAGCAGGGCAGCUGAGGUUUCCUGUACAAUCUCCUACCUGUGCACUUCCUUCCUGUACAAUCUCCACCCUCAUCAGGAGGCUCCUUGCUCUUCUCUACACAGGUGCUACAGUUAUUAUAUUUUCAAAAUGUAAAAUGAACCUGUCAUUGAUACCUUCCCAAAUGUCAGGGCUUAAAUCUGUUCUAUGGAUAAAAAUCACAAUCUUAAGAUGGCCCAGGGAGAUACACCAACCUUUGCCACCUCUGCCCACUGCUCCUGUCUCUUCUCCUCUCACCCCCCCACCUCACUCUCCACAAAUGGGCUACGUGCUUGCCAUGUCAUUCUACACACUGUACCCACAUUGACCACAGGGCCUUUGCUCAUGCAGUUCUUUCUUGCACCAGCAGACCUCUCUUUGUCCUUCACGUCUCAGCUCAAGCAUCGGCUUCUGCAGAGGAGACUUUCAAACCCCUUCUCUGGAAUGGGGUCUUUGGAAAUCUAAACCAUGUUCUCAUGCUACCAACUAAACUGUUAGGUAAAUUAAACAUAAAUCAACGCAGUAAGACAACUGCAAAAAUCCUAAUUGGCCAAUUGAUCUUUCUGGUUACUGGGUCUGAAAAGCUGCUUCUCUGGGACCCUGCCCAUCCCAGGUCCUCCUCUUCUCCUGAGCAUGCUCGCUGUCAAGCUGCAUCUUACUGUCGUGGAAUGUCUUAUUCUCUUCCUGAGAUGGGAUGGAUCCAGAGGACAUAUAUUCCUGGUUCUUUGAUUGUAUGUCUUGCCUUUUAUUCGAGGUCUGUGCUUCCCCCACUUCCUAAAGAGCUCGUGCUGGCUGAGGGCCUGGGAUGCCUGCCAGGUGGGUGAGACAUCUGAGCAUGACUCUCUCAGGGAAGCAGAUGGAGAUGUUCCAGUCACCUGAUUUGAACAGAUCACGAAACUUAAGCAGCUUAUGCGCUGGGCUGGAUCCGACACAUGGCUACCACCCCCUUGAACUUGCCAGAACCUGAGAAGCGCCCCAGAUUCGGAGCCUUUCCUGAUGCUUUGCCCGUCGCUUCACCAAUCAAACCACAAAAACAAGUGGAGCUUUGGGCGGAUGAGGAAUGGAACCACACAGGAGUUUCAAAAGCUGGGCCAAAGAGGCCAUGAUGGAGCUGAGCUUUGACCCUCAAGGACUCUCAGAGCAAACAGUGGACCAGUUCUCCUCUGCAGUGGUGACCGUCUCCUUUUCAGACACAGAAGGCGAAAGUACCCACAGUUCGAGAGUAGAUUCGUGGAGAUGCGAUAUUAAACCUUAAGGAAUGAAUCUUGCCAAUAACUCAGAGGGUGGAAAGAAUCAGAACGUUUCCAGGGAAGGCGGGAUCUGGCCCAGCUUGGACGUCCGGGUACCGUCUCAGUAACAAGUAGCCAAGGACGACCUCAGCGUGUGGCACAGAGUGGCUGACAUCUCUGCUGUGAGCCUGGGCAUUUCCUACCAUUUUCUCAUCUGUUUAUUCAUGCAAUGUUCACGGAAGGCGCCUAUGUCCUGGGCACCGGGUCCGUGGCACUGAGGGCCAGGGCAUUUUAGAGGAGAAGACACGUGAAUAGCAGGCAGGGGGUGGUAACUAUUAUUUGGGAAUCAAGAACGUGGACAUACCCAGUGCUUGGGGCAGGGGUGAUGCUGCUUUAUCUGGGGGGGUCGGAGAAGGAAUUCAGGCCCCUCCCAGGGGGAGCUGGGACAAGAGCAUCCUGGACUGAGGGACUGUGGGGCCAGGAAAGGGUGGGUUGGACAGGAACAAGAGUGGGGUUUGGAGCUUCACUGGUUCUGCCACUGAUUGUGCAGUGCUUGGACCAGUGACUGUGAGGAUGGGCACGGAUGGGCUAGGAGCUGGGCCCUGGACUUGCAUCCUGGCUCCGCCCCUAACAACAAGACCAGCUGGCAAGUUACUCUGCAAGCUUCAACUUCGCCAUUUGUAAACAUGGGGGAGACCUAUCUUUCAUGCCUCAGAUCUUUGGGCAGAUGAAAUGAGUUAAUUUGUGCAGAGCCCCGAAGCCAGGGCCAGACAUCCUGUGAGCCCAGGAUGAUGUUAGCUUUUCUAUGGGGGCAAGUUGCUUCCCCUCUGUGGGGUUCAGUGCUGCCAUCCACAGAUGGAGGGCUGCCAAGGGAUAGUCUUGCCAGGUGCACAACUCAAAGAUUUUUGGAACUCUGAUGCUAAUUGACAUGUUAUUUUAUGGUCCAUUUGCAUGUUAUUUGCUAUCUGCUGUAUUUGUUAUUGUUGUUGUUUUCCUUUUUUAAAAAAAAUUAAAAAAAAAUUUUUUUUAUAGGCUGCCCCAUCACAGUCCUCUUGUGGGAUUUAGCUUCUUGCCCCUGACAUUGAGCCCAGGCAUCCCUCACUUGUCUUUGCUGGAAUUCCACUUCUCUCUGCUUCCCUGGUGGGUUUUCUUCCUCCGGGGAUCUUUACACACCACACCAGUCCACUGAUUUGAUUAAAAACGUUCUCUCCAUAAACCCCAACACACUGGCCAGAGGUCUCUGGAGCAGAAACUUUUAAAAAUGAAAUUUCAAGCCAUUUUCUGUUUGGAGACCAAGUGUCUGGGAAAGAUACCAUUUCAACCAAGGGUCCCCCAAGUCCCUCACAGACAGCCCUGCUUGCGAUUUUGUCCCAGACACCCAUAAAGCUUUGUUCGGCCGCCUGAUUACUGUCCUGGCCACAGUGUCUCAGGCAGUAAGCCACAUGUAAACCCCACCAGUCUCUCCUAAACACAGUGCACUGAGCUCAUCAGUGCUGGGGACCUGCUGGUGCUCACAUUGAACAGGACAAGGGCUUUAGAGUGAAAACUGAAACUGGGGACCUGGUGUCUUGGCACCAGGGAUGCUGAACUUCACCUCCCCAGCUGGGUGGUCAAUUCCACAGGCAUUCUGGUAAGGAGGGGAGAUUGAAAAGGCGGUGCCACCAUUUACGGACUCUGUGACUGACCUGAGUCCCAUAUUUCUUAUCUAUGAAACCUGAGCCUGUAUCUUUGUUUUGAUGCCUCAAUGACAACAUGGGGCUUUAUAAAUUCGUCACUUUUUAUCCUUCAUAACUCAUGUAUGUGCAUAUUUAUCUUGCUAAAUAAAUGCGUGGCUGCCCUUCCAUAUCAGAGCCUGACAAAUCCUCAUCCUACGAAGUCUAGGCAUUUCUUGGUCUGGGAGGAAACAGACCGGCCAAGUGCCUGCAGGUGACUAUGGGACCAGGUAAAGCCUGCAGAGGGUGGACCUUAUAAAGCUGUCUCCCUCUUCCCCCUCCCCCUGGGGAUUACUUAAUUAUCUUCUGUGAGAGCAGAUUUAUACACCUGUAAACGAAUCAUUCCUUAACGAUUCUCUCCUUCCCAGACCACGCGGACCACGAGGCCACUCAUGUUUCAGGCCACCUCCGCAGCUUGUCUGCCCACAUCAGACCUUUCAGAACCGCCAGGCUGGUGGGGUCCACCUGGGUCGGCCCCGCUCUCCCCUGGCCCAUUCCCACCCUGCCCACAGCGAUGUCGUCCAGCACAGGGCUUUGCCUUUUUAUUCCUGAAUCCUCAGCCCUAGUCCCACAGACUGUGGUCUUAUUUAUGUUGGGUGAACACGUGGAAGGUCGAGGAAGCUGCGGGGAGGAAGAACGAACGACUCCCUUCAAGGCCUCCAGAGAAUCCUGUAACUUUCUAGAGUCAGGAUAGCAGAGGCCUGACCUUGCUCCUGGGCCAGGCCUGCAUCCCCUGAGGUCACCCUCCUUGGGGUCACCGACAGCGCGCCCCCGGAGCCGCUCUCGGCUCAAGGUUGAGGCAACAGCGCCACCUCCUGGCCUCGAGGCCGCUGCCGUGGCCUGACUCUGGCGGUCUCGGGCGCCCUCUUGUGGGAAUUCAGAAGCCACCUGGUUGGCUGAGAAGCUCCCUGGGGACUUCUCCACCUUUGCCGUUUGACUCGUGCUGUGGGCCUGCGCUGGAACCAAGCCUAGAAAUCAAGGCUUCAUAGGAGCUUAGGAUGCUGACGAUGAGGCAUAUGAUGUAACCAGCUGCAGGCAUCAAUGGCAUGAAAACUGCGGUGGUGGUGAGGAAGGAACUCCGGAGAAUGAUGGAGAGGAACUGGGAGGUGAAAAGAAGUGGAGGGAGAGGAAGGAGGUGCUAGGAUGACCUCUUUCUGGACUAAAGUCACUGAGAAGGCCACUGGAAAGAGCACGUUGAAUGUAGACAGCCUUUCCCCAGCAGGAGGUCCGGCAUUUCCAGUUACCCUUGUUUGAGCUGUUCUGGAACAGUCCCCGCCCUGAGUCUCCCCUCCACGAUGUUGGAUUAUUGACGACCAACCACUGAUGGCUCUGGCUGGGGCUCAGCUAUAGAAGUAUCUUGGAGGCCUGGGAAUGCAAGCCCAGCUUGCAAUGUCCUUCCCUGAAAGGCUUGUUUUGUUUGGGGACAUCUCGUGCCAAUCUGUCCUGCCAAGAAAUGAUUGCUGUUGAACUGUUGGUUUGCAUUGCUGUCAAACACAAUCUUACAAGGAGAGCAAGGGGGCAGCCCCCCCUCGAGAACCAGCUGAGAGAGAAGGCUUUUGACUGGCUGGGACCUUCUCAGAAUCUUCUGGAGAAUUUUUCAAAAAGACACAUCCAGAGUGGCUGAUGAGAAUCACACCCACAGCGCAACUAAACCCUCACCCACAGCACGGAGCAGGUCCUGUCCACCUAUGGGGGCCACAGUCAGCAUCCCCAGGGGACGGGGGAGAAGGGCAAUCAGAGGCCCGGAGCCCCAGGUGUAGCUUUGUUUUGGGCAUAUGCUUGGAUCUCCUCUGUUCCAAAUGCAAGCAGUCGUGCAGGGUCCUGCCUAACACACAAAGGCUAGGAAGAAUGUGGAAACAAUGCCCCAGUAUUUGAGCGAGGUCUAGGCUACAGUAGGGACACUGGGCAAAAUCAGUAGAGAAGUUUGCUUUGCUGUCAGGUCUCUCCAAACACCUGGAGGCAUGAGAAGGUGAAAUUUUAUGCUGCUGGCCUUGUUCUGUUGUUUGUUUCAUUUCUUUCUAAUAAAAAUGAUUUGAAGGCAAAA
rnacentral:lncRNA from 1 species